rnacentral:rRNA from 1 species
GACGAACGCUGGCGGCGUGCUUAACACAUGCAAGUCGAACGGAAAGGCCCUGCUUUUGUGGGGUGCUCGAGUGGCGAACGUGUGAGUAACACGUGAGUAACCUGCCCUUGACUUUGGGAUAACUUCAGGCAACUGGGGCUAAUACCUGAUAGGAGCUCCUGCUGCAUGGUGGGGGUUGGACAGUUUCGGCGGUAGGGGAUGGACUCCCGGCUUAUCAGCUUGUUGGUGGGGUAGUUGCUUACCAAGGCUUUGACGGAUAGCCGGCCUGAGAGGGGGACCGGCGACAUUGGGACUGAGAUACGGAGCAGACUGCAACGGGAGGCAGCAGGGGGGAAUAUUGCACAAUGGGCGGAAGCCUGAUGCAGAAGCGCCGCGUGCGGGAUGACGGCCUUCGGGUUGUAAACCGCUUUCACCUGUGACGAAGCGUGAGUGACGGUAAUGGGUAAAGAAGCACCGGCUAACUACGUG